GAUGAACGCUAGCGGCAGGCUUAACACAUGCAAGUCGAGGGGCAGCAUGAGACGGAGAUUCGUCGAAGUCUUGAUGGCGACCGGCGCAAGGGUGCGUAACGCGUGAGCAACUUGCCCGUUUCUGGGGAAUAACCGGUGGAAACGCCGACUAAUACCCCAUAGUAUUGGCUUUAGGCAUCUUUAGUCAAUUAAAGAAUUUCGGAUAAGGAUAGGCUCGCGUGACAUUAGCUAGACGGCGGGGUAACGGCCCACCGUGGCUACGAUGUCUAGGGGUUCUGAGAGGAAGGUCCCCCACACUGGAACUGAGAUACGGUCCAGACUCCUACGGGAGGCAGCAGUUAGGAAUAUUGGGCAAUGGAGGAAACUCUGACCCAGCAACGCCGCGUGAAGGACGAAGGUCUUUGGAUUGUAAACUUCUUUUCUGUGGGAAAAAACAAAUGAUGGUACCACUGGAAUAAGACACGGCUAACUACGUG
rnacentral:rRNA from 1 species